rnacentral:rRNA from 1 species
AGAGUUUGAUCCUGGCUCAGGACGAACGCUGGCGGCGCGUCUAAGACAUGCUAGUCGAGCGAGUAAAGCUCCCUUCGGGGAGUGUAUAAAGCGGCGAACCGGUGAGUAACACGUAUCUAACGUACCCUUGUGUCUGGGAUAGCAGACCGAAAGGUCUGGUAAUACUGGAUAAUUCGGAAUGGUCUAUAGACUAUUUCGGGAAAGCCCUCGGGCGCACAAGGAUCGGGGUGCGGCCUAUUAGCUAGUUGGUGGGGUAACGGCCUACCAAGGCAAUGAUGGGUAGCUGGUCUGAGAGGAUGGUCAGCCACACUGGGACUGAGAUAAGGCCCAGACUCCUACGGGAGGCAGCAGUUAAGAAUCUUGCACAAUUAGCGAAAGCUAGAUGCAGCGACGCCGCGUGAAGGAUGAAGGCCCUAGGGUCGUAAACUUCUGUUCUAGGGGAAGAUAAUGACGGUACCCUAGAAGAAAGCCCCGGCCAAUUACGUGCCAGCAGCCGCGGUAACACGUAAGGGGCGAGCGUUGUCCGGAAUUACUGGGCGUAAAGCGCGCGUAGGUGGUUUGAUAAGUCGGAUGUGAAAGCCACGAGCUCAACUCGUGAACUGCGUUCGAAACUGUCUCACUCGAGAGUGGGAGAGGGAAGCGGAAUUCCCGGUGUAGGGGUGAAAUCCUUAGAUAUCGGGAAGAACACCAAUGGCGAAGGCAGCUUCCUGGCCCAUUUCUGACACUGAGGUGCGAAAGCGUGGGGAGCGAACGGGAUUAGAUACCCCGGUAGUCCACGCUGUAAACGAUGGGCACUAGGUUUGGGAGGCAUCGACCCCUUCUGAGCCGCAGCUAACGCAUUAAGUGCCCCGCCUGGGGAGUACGAUCGCGAGAUUAAAACUCAAAGGAAUUGACGGGUCCCCGCACAAGCGGUGGAGCAUGUGGUUUAAUUCGUGGCUACGCGAAGAACCUUACCUGGACUAGACCUCUCUGGAAAGCCUGUGAAAGCAGGACGUGCCUUCGGGAACCAGAGUGUGCAGGUGCUGCAUGGCUGUCGUCAGCUCGUGUCGUGAGAUGUUGGCUUAAGUGCCGCAACGAGCGCAACCCUUGUCGUUAGUUACCAGCGUAAAGUCGGGGACUCUAGCGAGACUGCCGGUCUUAAACCGGAGGAAGGUGAGGAUGACGUCAAGUCAGCAUGGCCUUUAUGUUCAGGGCUACACACGUGCUACAAUGGCAGGUACAACGAGUUGCGACACAGCAAUGUGAAGCUAAUCUCUUAAAACCUGUCCCAGUCCGGAUUGGAGGCUGCAAUUCGCCUCCAUGAAGUUGGAAUCGCUAGUAAACGUGGAUCAGCAUGCCGCGUUGAAUACGUUCCCGGGGAUUGUACACACCGCCCGUCACACCACCCGAGUCAGAUGCACCCGUAGUCGCUGGCCGAACCUCUUCGGAGGGCGGAGGCGCCGAAGGUGUGCCUGGUAAGGAGGGUGAAGUCGUAACAAGGUA